GAGAAACUUUGGAUAUUUUUGAAUGGAGAGGAGGGGCUUAUAAUCAUUUUGGCAUCUUCAUAUGAUCACUGUAUUUGUGUGGUGAAGAAUAGAUAAGGAUGAAGCUGGAAACUGAAAACCAGAGAAGUAAACUGUGUGAAAUAAGAUGGAUCCAGCUAUAGGAGUGAGGAGGGUGAUUUGAGAAGCUGUGGAACCAGAUGCCCUGUUUAGAGAUCCACAUGUGUUUCAUAGAUUGGGGAAAUAAGCCAGUGAAAAAUAAAGCUCGUUCCUCAGGGAAAAGAAGCAGUUCCUGCUCCGAUGGAAAGGAGAAGGGGACAUCAGUGCGGUCUGAGUCCCAGCCAUAGAGUGCACCUGUGCUUGGCAUUCUAUCCAUCCUUGUCAGGUGGGGGCCUUGUCCUCUCUUCCACCUGAACAGGAACCAACUGGGGCCCAAGCAGAGCUGGUCCACAGCGAACAGGGCAUGCCCUCUCCACUCUACA